rnacentral:lncRNA from 1 species
AAUAGAUUUAAAAUUUUGACAUUAUUUCAAAAUUUUGAUGUAAAAUUUUAAUAUUUAAUUUUUAAUUUGAAUUUAAAUUAAUAUAUUAUAAAGAUAAUGUUAGUAUAUUAAUUUGAUUACGUUUUUUAUAUCCACCUGAACCAAACACCGACAAUGGGAAUGAUUUAUUCUGAUUUCGAUUCAGGUGAUGAACUAAACAGAAUUAGGUAAUGAGUCAUUCUAAUUCCGAUUCCAGCUUAUUUUUAUUUCGAUUCCGAUUCCGACUCCGACUUGGAACCAAACACGCCCUUAGUCUAAUGAAGUUCAAUUACUGGAAUUAGGUUACUAUACUAUUAAUAGUACCAAGUUAUUAGUGCUAUUAGAUUUUCAACUCUUGGAUGAAGGAUAUGCAGUUAGGCUGAUAGUGGUCCUCUAGGGUUGAGUGAGUAGUUGGUUGAAUAAUAUGAUCUAAUGGGUGGAAAUGGUAAAAAGGAUAAAUUUAACGGCGGAAAACUCGAUAGCACAUAGUGCUUGGUUCUAUUGAUAGUAUAGUAGCCGGACUCUAAUUACUGUAUAUUAAGGGCAUGUUUAGAUGCUCAUUUUUUUGGAGCAUAGUAUAACUAUUCUAUAGGUGUAGGAAAAUUUUUCUAAAAGCUGUUUGGAUGGUUCAAAAACACACCAAUAAAAUAGGGUAUAAUUAAACUAUACCCUAAGGUGGCGUUUGGCUCGGGUACA